rnacentral:rRNA from 1 species
AUUGAACGCUGGCGGCAUGCCUUACACAUGCAAGUCGAACGGCAGCACGGGGGCGAACCCUGGUGGCGAGUGGCGAACGGGUGAGUAAUGCAUCGGAACGUGCCCAGUAGUGGGGGAUAACUAGUCGAAAGAUUAGCUAAUACCGCAUACGACCUAUGGGUGAAAGCGGGGGAUUCGCAAGAACCUCGCGCUAUCGGAGCGGCCGAUGUCUGAUUAGCUAGUUGGCGGGGAAAAGCCCACCAAGGCGACGAUCAGUAGCUGGUCUGAGAGGACGACCAGCCACACUGGGACUGAGACAUGGCCCAGACUCCUACGGGAGGCAGCAGUGGGGAAUUUUGGACAAUGGGCGCAAGCCUGAUCCAGCCAUGCCGCGUGCGGGAA